GGAGCAUGUGGUUUAAUUCGAUGCAACGCGAAGAACCUUACCUACUCUUGACAUCCAGAGAAUUCGCUAGAGAUAGCUUAGUGCCUUCGGGAACUCUGAGACAGGUGCUGCAUGGCUGUCGUCAGCUCGUGUUGUGAAAUGUUGGGUUAAGUCCCGCAACGAGCGCAACCCUUAUCCUUGUUUGCCAGCACGUAAUGGUGGGAACUCCAGGGAGACUGCCGGUGAUAAACCGGAGGAAGGUGGGGACGACGUCAAGUCAUCAUGGCCCUUACGAGUAGGGCUACACACGUGCUACAAUGGCGUAUACAGAGGGCUGCAAGCUAGCGAUAGUGAGCGAAUCCCACAAAGUACGUCGUAGUCCGGAUUGGAGUCUGCAACUCGACUCCANGAAGUCGGAAUCGC
rnacentral:rRNA from 1 species